rnacentral:rRNA from 1 species
GACGAACGCUGGCGGCGUGCUUAACACAUGCAAGUCGAGCGGACGGAGGAACUUCGGUUCCGAAGUUAGCGGCGGACGGGUGAGUAACGCGUGAACAAUCUGUCCCAGACAGGGGGGAUAACACAUCGAAAGGUGUGCUAAUACCGCAUAAGACCACAGGAUCGCAUGAUCCGGUAGGUAAAAACUCCGGUGGUAUGAGAUGGACCCGCGUCUGAUUAGCUAGUUGGUGGGGUAACGGCUCACCAAGGCGACGAUCAGUAGCCGACCUGAGAGGGUGACCGGCCACAUUGGGACUGAGACACGGCCCAA